rnacentral:tRNA from 1 species
GUGUUGGUGAUAUAGUUGUGAGCAUAGCUGCCUUCCAAGCAGUUGACCCGGCUUCGAUUCCUGGCUAAACA